rnacentral:rRNA from 1 species
GAUGAACGCUAGCGGCAGGCUUAACACAUGCAAGUCGAACGGUAACAGGGACUAGCUUGCUAGUCUGCUGACGAGUGGCGACGGGUGAGUAAUGCGUAAGAAUCUGCCCUUUAGCGGGGGACAACUUGAGGAAACUUGAGCUAAUACCGCAUAAUACCUACGGGUUAAAGGAGGCUUCGGCUUUCGCUAGAGGAUGAGCUUACGUCAGAUUAGCUAGUUGGUGGGGUAAAGGCCUACCAAGGCGACGAUCUUUAGCUGGUCUGAGAGGAUGAUCAGCCACACUGGGACUGAGACACGGCCCAGACUCCUACGGGAGGCAGCAGUGGGGAAUAUUGGACAAUGGAGGCAACUCUGAUCCAGCAAUGCCGCGUGUGUGAUGAAGGCCCUAGGGUUGUAAAGCACUUUCAACGGUGAAGAUGAUGACGGUAGCCGUAGAAGAAGCCCCGGCUAACUUCGUG